UAAGCAUAUCAAUAAGCGGAGGAAAAGAAACUAACAAGGAUUCCCCUAGUAACGGCGAGCGAACCGGGAAGAGCUCAAAUUUGAAAUCUGAUGUCCUCUGGUCGUCAGAGUUGUAAUCUACAGAGGCGUUUUCCGCGCCGGUCCGUGUCCAAUUAUCCUUGGAACAGGGUAAUCAAAGAGGGUGACAAUCCCGUAGUUGACACGACCGCCGGUGCUUUGUGAUACGUCUUCUAAGAGUCGAGUUGUUUGGGAAUGCAGCUCAAAACGGGUGGUAAAUUCCAUCUAAGGCUAAAUAUUGGCGAGAGACCGAUAGCGAACAAGUACCGUGAGGGAAAGAUGAAAAGCACUUUGGAAAGAGAGUUAAACAGUACGUGAAAUUGUUGAAAGGGAAACGAUUGAAGUCAGUCGUGUCCGAGGGGUUCAGCCGGUUCUGCCGGUGCAUUCCUCUCGGACGGGUCAACAUCGGUUUUGGCCGGCGGAAAAGGGCGCGAGGAAUGUUUCACCUCCGGGUGUGUUAUAGCCUCGUGUCGCAUACGUCGGCCGAGACCGAGGAACGCAGCUCGCCUUCAUGGCCGGGGUUCGCCCACGUACGAGCUUAGGAUGUUGACAUAAUGGCUUUAAACGACCCGUCUUGAAACACGGGACCA
rnacentral:rRNA from 1 species